rnacentral:lncRNA from 1 species
GGACAAUUCCCUGCCCUACAUGCAGAGAUUCUGUGAAUUCAGUCUGACUCUUUAUGGAAGGGGCAGUUAGAAUCAUAGAAUCAUAGACUCAUUUGAGCUGGAAGGGACCCUUAAAGGCCAUCUGGUCCAACUCCCCUGCAAUGAACCUUCACAUAGAGCAGGUUGCUCAGAGCCCUGUCCAGCCUGACCUUGAAUGUCUCCAAGGACGAGGCAUCCACCAGUUGGUAUAAGCAGGAACAUGUAUUCUCUGUAAACUCCCAUAAGGCACAUUCAUGUGCCUUGCUGGAAAUGUUCCCAGACCACAGCAUAUGGUGUACACAUGACUUGAAUGCAGCAAAAUAGCUCAUUGCUUCACACAAACCAGUCGAGCAUUCCUGUAGCUCUGGCAGUAGCUCCCUCAGUCACCAUGAGCUUGGAGAUGCAACCACCUGCAGCUCUUCCUUACCAGAGGAAGGAGUGGGGAAAAGGGGCCGGACUCAAAGGGACAAAUAGCAAAAGAAAAAGACAAACUUGCCAUGCAGAGCUGGACAUAGCAGAUCACUACGAAGCAUGUGGGGAAAUCAUUUGUGUCCCUUCCUCACCAGUUCACAAUGCCAAAAACCUCAGAUGAUGUAAAUUAUCCCUUCCCCUCCGACUUCAGUGGCAUUGUGCCAGCUCCCAGCAGCUGAGGAUGUGACACAACCAUUUCUGUGCUCUGUAAACGUUGACAAAG